ensembl:lncRNA
CCGCCAACUGCUCAGAUGUAUAAAUGUGAUAAAUGUAAGUCAUGCUGGUUAAGGGCGUCUGCCAAAAUAAAAUAAAUGUAAAGAAUCUCCAGUUAGUCACUAUAUGGCAUAGUACACAUGGAAAAUUAUUUUGGAUCAUUUGACUAGGCACUUAAUCUGACCUAAAACAAUCCACCUCUGAAAUGUGGGAAAUGUCAGUUGGUUGUUAUUUAUAUCGGGAGUGAAGUCUGAAUAAAUGUCAUUAAAGCAGUGUUGUGUCUCUUUGGGUGCCUUAUUAUUAACUUGGCUUUCUGUUUUGACACUUUUUGCAGCUGAUGGUGUCAGGGAUUGGGCUCAGGUCUCAGCUGGAUAGUCGCCUUUCCUUCCUGAUGCAGAGCUUAUUUUUUCCACCCAUAGCAAUCCAGCUACCUCCCAACAACACUUCCUAGCACUGAGACACAUCCAUGUCCAUGAGUGAUAUACGAGUGCACUUCAGCUUUACCCACUCUGCCUGUUUUCUUCUUCUGUCUGUGCUAGUGUCCAUAGCUGAGUUCCUAACUCACUUAAAACGUCAUUACUGUAUAAUUUUAUUUGGUAUACGUUUGUCUUCCAAUUUAUGUCCUGCUGGAUGCUUAUAAGGUAUUUCAUUUAUAGGUUUCGACAGACAGUGAGUCUGACACUGACGUCUUGUGAUAGGAGAGCAGAUAACCCUCUGGUACAUCUGGUACAGUUGACAGCAAAAUUACUGCUGAAGAAUUAUUCAGAGUGUAGUUGAAUUACUUGAAAUGCCAUUUCCAGUGAUAACAUUUCCUAGGAAAAGUCUCAUGUGAAAGACUGUUUGAUGGCACAACCAGCAGUAUAUGCUAAUAACACAUGUGUAGAGUGGAGUGAUGUAUUAUUGGAAAAGGUCCUGUCCAUUUACAAUUUCCAAGAAACACCGACCCUUGUUUUCAUUUUGUUUUGGUCCAGUGGUAUUAUAAUAAUUAAUUACUAUAACCAUGUUUCUAUCCAGGGAACACUGCCCAUGAGUCACUUAUACAAAUUGAUGGGCCAUCAGUCCGUCGCAGGGUACCAUGUGUGCAUACACGUACAGGUGGGAGGUGGGAGGAAACCGGAACGUCCAGAGUAAACCCAUGUUCACAUUUACAGACGGGAAAAUAUGUCUUUCCUGUUACAGAUGUUGAAGAGCUGCUUGACUGACUGCUGCAAAUGCUGUUCAUCAUUUUACUGGUAGCAUAGCAACCAGGCACUUUUAUUUAAGGUCUAGUAUUUGGCCACUGCUGCCAUUCGCUUCAGUGCACAAUGAUGAAUCAAUUAUACUGAAUCCAGCACUUCCUGCUAAAUGUCCAGAGUCUCCACUUCCUGCAACAGCACAGCAGUCAUGUAUACUACUGACUGAUUGAUAAUUUUUCUUUUAAACAGUGCUUAAUGCAAAGAACGACUUUCUUUUUCAGUACGAUUUCUGUCCACCUGUCUGACCGUCCAUCCAUUCAGGAUUCUCGCUACUGUGAUCUCUCAUGAACAAGUGGUUGAAUGUUUGUAGGAUUAUCAAUAUAACCAUAAUGCUUUUGGAAUUGAGCCAAACAGGGUCAAGGUCCAUCCAUCCAUCCAUUUUCUGUACUGCUUAUCCUACACGGGGUUGCAGGGGAGCCUGGAGACUAUCCCAGGGGACUCGGGGCACGAGGUGGGGGACAGCCUGGACGGGGUGCCAACCCAUCAUAGGGCACAUUCGUGCACACACACACACACACACACACACACACACACUAGCGAUGUCACGAUACCAAAAAUCUAGUAGUCAGUACCGAUAACACCAAAAGUACACGAUACUCGAUACCAAAGUCGAUACCACAGUGUGGUAUAAAAAUAUUUUAAAAAUAAAAUUUAAAACUCCUGGAGGACAUCCUCCUCUGGCUAAUACUGGCAAAGAGAGAGAGAUGGGGAUAUUUUAGUUAUCAAACACUGUCUGACAAUGACUAAUAAAACAGUGCUAAGUGGUAAUAACAAGAGUUAAGGUGCACGCACACACACACACACACACACACACACACACACACCUCUUAUACUCUGAAUGCAAGCAUUAGUUUAAAUUCACUGAUAUGGUGGCAGGCCAAAAAGAUUUAUUAAAAGCCUUAACAUUUGAAUAAUUAUUAGUGACAUUAGGCUACAUUUGGCUGACAGGAUGCAUGGUGGCCCAUUCGGAGGUAGUGUAUAACAUCGCAGUGUGUUAGCCUGUUAUUUGUUAAUGAUACUAUCACAAACAUUACGUUAGCUUGUUUCAUGGCAACAAUGUCAGCUGCCUCAAACAAACAUAAUAUAGGGACUCUCUUUCAGGUAUUUCGCCAAAUUCCAGGUGUUUCCUCGCUUUGUUUGAAAUGAACGAUAGCAUUGGUUGCACACCGGCAACUGAUGCUACCUUUCCUCUCAACGAGUCGGGGCGGAGCUAAAAUUGUCGUCGUCUUCUGUAGUUUUUCCCGUGUGCUUGUAGGCAUUCUUCUUCUUCAACACUUGUGGACCGACUAAAACACUUGCGCGUAUUUGCUGCCCCCUUCAGUUCCGAAAGAAUUGCAACCUCAGUACCUUCCAUUACCAACGGUACCUACGCUACUGCACAAAAACCAAGUACCGUCACGUUUUAAGAAUGUUGGUACCGAAGUAUCGGUUCUUGUGACAUCCCUAACACACACACACACACACACACACACACACACAACACACAGACAAUUUGGAAAUGCCAUUCAGCCUACAACGCAUGUCUUUGGACUGGGGGAGGACACUGGAGUACCUGGAGGAAACCCCCAAAUCAGAGGGAGAACAUACAGACUCCGCAAACAAGGGCAGAGAUGGGAAUUGAACCCCCAGCUCUGGAGGUCGUGAUUAAUGGUUCUCUCCAUCAUGCUGCUGCUGGUGGGCUGGUUUCUGUGUUUGUGAGAGCUACACUGGCCUGCUGGGAUGAACAUGCCACUGCAUCAGAUCUCUGUCAUUCCCCGGGAUGUCACUUCCUCCAGGGGGUCUGGCAGCAGCGGAAAGGCCAAGGACAAGGACCGGGACAAUAAGGUGUGUCUCCUAUACGCUGUAGAGUCCAAACCUGUUCUUCCACA